AGAGUUUGAUCCUGGCUCAGGACGAACGCUGGCGGCGCGCCUAACACAUGCAAGUCGAACGAGAGAGAAGGAGCUUGCUUCUUCGAUCGAGUGGCGAACGGGUGAGUAACGCGUGAGGAACCUGCCUCAAAGAGGGGGACAACAGUUGGAAACGACUGCUAAUACCGCAUAAGCCCACGGGUCGGCAUCGACCUGAGGGAAAAGGAGCAAUCCGCUUUGAGAUGGCCUCGCGUCCGAUUAGCUAGUUGGUGAGGUAACGGCCCACCAAGGCGACGAUCGGUAGCCGGACUGAGAGGUUGAACGGCCACAUUGGGACUGAGACACGGCCCAGACUCCUACGGGAGGCAGCAGUGGGGAAUAUUGCACAAUGGGGGAAACCCUGAUGCAGCGACGCCGCGUGGAGGAAGAAGGUCUUCGGAUUGUAAACUCCUGUUGUUGAGGAAGAUAAUGACGGUACUCAACAAGGAAGUGACGGCUAACUACGUGCCAGCAGCCGCGGUAAAACGUAGGUCACAAGCGUUGUCCGGAAUUACUGGGUGUAAAGGGAGCGCAGGCGGGAAGACAAGUUGGAAGUGAAAUCUAUGGGCUCAACCCAUAAACUGCUUUCAAAACUGUUUUUCUUGAGUAGUGCAGAGGUAGGCGGAAUUCCCGGUGUAGCGGUGGAAUGCGUAGAUAUCGGGAGGAACACCAGUGGCGAAGGCGGCCUACUGGGCACCAACUGACGCUGAGGCUCGAAAGUGUGGGUAGCAAACAGGAUUAGAUACCCUGGUAGUCCACACCGUAAACGAUGAUUACUAGGUGUUGGAGGAUUGACCCCUUCAGUGCCGCAGUUAACACAAUAAGUAAUCCACCUGGGGAGUACGACCGCAAGGUUGAAACUCAAAGGAAUUGACGGGGGCCCGCACAAGCAGUGGAGUAU
rnacentral:rRNA from 1 species